rnacentral:rRNA from 1 species
CAAGGAAUAGUAGGCAAUGGGCGAAAGCCUGACCUCGCGACGCCGCGUGAAGGAUGAAGGCCUUCGGGUUGUAAACUUCUUUUUUCAGGGAUGAAUAAUGACAGUACCUGGAGAAUAAGUCACGGCUAACUACGUGCCAGCAGCCGCGGUAAAACGUAGGUGGCGAACGUUAUCCGGAUUUACUGGGCGUAAAGCGUGCGCAGGUGGUUAUUCAAGUCAGAUGUAAAAUCUCCUGGCUCAACUGGGAGGGACCAUCUGAUACUGUUUAACUAGAGUACAGCAGAGGAAAGUGGAAUUCCCGGUGUAGUGGUGGAAUGCGUAGAUAUCGGGAGGAACACCAGUGGCGAAAGCGGCUUUCUGGGCUGUUACUGACACUGUUGCACAAAAGCGUGGGGAGCAAACAGG